GAACAGACGCAUUUUAGUUUGCUGCUGUCCUUAUCUCCAGGGAUUUUCGAACCCAGUUGUUUCAGUUGUUCAAGUAUGUGCCAUACCUUGCUGCAAAGUACGAACAGCCUUGACCCUCAAUGUAACGUCCUUCAGAUUGACUCAUCAGACACCAAAUGUACUCAAGCUAAGGCCGAAAAUGAGCAAUUGCUUUGCUUUGACAUCAAGAUGCAAGGCUCUGACAAUUCCAAUAUAAUCAAUGAAGGUCGAAUACAUUCAAUUGAAGCAUAUCCCUAUAUCGGUGGGCACAGUGACGAUUUAAUCAAGUUUGUACCUUUAAUACGAACAGAUCCUCCGUUGCCAGAAUACACACAUCCCUCAACGCCGUUUGUAACAAAGGGACCCUCCCUUUCGGUGCCAUUCAACAAUGGAAUGAUGGUUUGCCAACCAUAUUUCUCAGUUUGUUCCCAUUGGUCAUACUGUGAGUCAUUGUUCAUUUUCUGUGCUGUUAAUGCAUGGUUGAUGCCAUU